UAGGGAAUCUUCCGCAAUGGACGCAAGUCUGACGGAGCAACGCCGCGUGAGUGAAGAAGGAUUUCGGUUCGUAAAACUCUGUUGUUAGAGAAGAACAGCGCAUAGAGUAACUGUUAUGCGUGUGACGGUAUCUAACCAGAAAGCCACGGCUAACUACGUGCCAGCAGCCGCGGUAAUACGUAGGUGGCAAGCGUUGUCCGGAUUUACUGGGCGUAAAGCGAGCGCAGGCGGUCAAUUAAGUCUGAUGUGAAAGCCCCCGGCUCAACCGGGGAGGGUCAUUGGAAACUGGUUGACUUGAGUGCAGAAGAGGGGAGUGGAAUUCGAUGUGUAGCGGUGAAAUGCGUAGAUAUAUGGAGGAACACCAGUGGCGAAGGCGACUCUCUGGUCUGUAACUGACGCUGAGGCUCGAAAGCGUGGGUAGCAAACAGG
rnacentral:rRNA from 1 species